UCCUAUACAAACAGCUAAAAGGUGUUUUACAAAUAUAAUAGGAUGGAACACUCCUCGUGACAUGUAUAUUACAAUUAAGUGGUUCCUCCACUUUUUUUUAGAAAAAGAUUAAAAAGGAAAUUAGACUACUUGUGGAUUUUUUUAAUUUUUCUUUUUCAUUUGUAAAGUUUCAUGAAUGGAAAAAAUAGUGUAUGCUCUGCUUUGUGUAGGAACCACAUAUUAUUUCACUUGCCACUCAAACUCAAGUAAUAUUUCUUUGAUAUUUUAGCUAAAAGCAAUAAUCCAAAAGUUACUUUUUAUCUACAUGAAUGUUAUUACAAAUAUAAAUUUAAAACAAUAUAACCAAUUAUAAAAUAAAUUAUCAAAUAUAAUCCUUUAUAUACUAAAGCGCAAGUCGCUUGACGAAUUAAAUAGUGACAUGUGGAAAAAAUUUACAAAAUAAAAAUAAAAACAAUUGAAAAGAAAAAAAACAGAAAAAACAAAUCACGAUCAUAAAUCCUGCCACAUCAUAAGUAUUUACAAAACUAAAAAAAUUAAUCAAAAAAGAUAAUAUUUAGAAAAAAUAACCAUUUAACGGUUUCUAGAUAUAUUCUACAAACCCACGAUCUUUUUCUGUCCAUAAUCUAUUUUUCUAUACUUCCGUAUUUAUGAGAUCUUGAAACAAACAUCUGAAAAACUCUCAAUCGAUCAAAACAGAAUAAAAAAGUCAGCGCUGAGUUUGAUAUCUAAAUAAACAUAUGCCAUCCAGCCAUAUUUCCCCUCUUUUGUGCAGUUUCGUUGGUUUAUGUGAAGCACUACAUAGUCAUCAAAACAGAUUUGCAUUGCUGGAGACUUGAUCAAAACAAAGAAAUAUGGACAACAACAAAAAAUAAGGAAGAUAGAAAACAGACAUGGUGGAAUCAGAAGAAAAGCUUUGGUUAAAAGGUAAAUACGCUUCCACCACAUUUACUAUUUGCAUUGGAUUUGUAAUAUUAUUUUUGUAAAGGCUAAAGAACCAUAAAUUUUAUAUUAAAAAUUAUGAGAAGUAUUAGAAGAACUAAAACAGAAAAGCUUCAAAGUAAUAAUUAUAUUCAACAAGCUAAUUAAGAUCAAUGCAUUUUUUUAACCGAAUCUAAUUUAUCUUUUCUUAUAUGUUUAUGGUUAAUUAAUUAUUUGUGUUAAUAUGUAUACAAAUCUCCUGAUAAAUCAAGUUAAAGUAUACAUGUAAGUUUAGUUAUAUAUGAUUGAAAUUUAUAUAACAGAAAUUUGGCUUUUAAAAAAUUGGUUUUAUUUGUAAGCAAACAAGUACUCCCAUGCGUAGUAUGGGAUCAAUACUAGUUACUUAUAUAAUCAAAGAAAUGUGAAAACAUUUUAUAUUCUAUAACAUCAAACAAUAUUGAAAAAAUAUAUUUAGCAAUUGAGAGAGUAUAUAUAUUUUAUAUAAAUAUAAAUUAAAUUGAAAAUAUUAGUUAUUUUAGCUAAAAGACUAUUUUUUGACAUACCCUCACCCAUGAAUAGUAUUUCUUAUUCUUAUAGAAAAAUUAAAAACAUUUUAUUGUAUUUAAAUCAUUUUCCAUUGAAAUGCUUUAUUUUUCCUUUGUUUUCUUAAAUAAAUUUCUCUUUAUAAUUUUUUUUUUACUUUUAUAUAUAUUAGUUUUCUGAAAUAAAAAUAUAAUUUUUUUUUAGUUUUACUCUUAAUAAUUAUUUUAUUAAGUCUAAAUUUUCUUUCUUUCAAUACAUAGAUUAAAUAGCAACUAAACUGAACAUUUUUAUAAUGAAAUUGUUUUGUGAAAUAUGAAAAUUAUAUUUACUGACAUUUAUAUUUACAGAAAAUCUCGAAACGAAACAACUCUCACCAGGUUCCUUCGCUCCAUUGUUCCCAAAAUCCAUGUUUAUAAAAUAAAAACACAAAACUAAAACUAGUUUUCUUACAGGAACGCAUUGGUUUAUAUAUGCGGAGAAAGGGCAAAGGAGAAGGCCUUUGUAUAUAAUUAACUUAUAAGUUGUGAUAAUUAAUAUUAUAUCAAAUUACUGCAUGCAGUGGCUGGAAGCUUUAGAGUGUUUGGAUAUGACACUAAGCUUCAUGUGCCUUUUCUCGAGAGCAAGUUGCGGGAUUAUCUCUCUUCGUGCGGAGAGAUCACGGAUGUUCAUUUUGGCGUUAUGUUCAUGUGUUUAUUUUCGCUCCAUUUUGUUGUCUUUUUCACCGUAUUAUGUGUUUUAUCCGUAUUAACCCAUCUAUAUUAUUAAAACAGAAACAUUACAACUUAUUCUAGGUGGAUUUUAAAGUUGGACCUCUUACUAUAUUGACUAUUUUAACCCAACCUUUUAUAAAAUAUAUUUCCUUAAUUAACUUUCGCUAACAACCAUAAUUAUUUCCUUUUACAUGCAUACAUUUCGUAAUGUCUCUCAAAAUUAUAAACGCAAAUAACGUUUGCUAACAACCAUACACUUUGUAGUCUUUCCAAAUGUCAUCUAUAAACAUUGACUAUGAAAAUGACAAACUCUACACUUUCAAAAACUCUACACGUUCCAUUAACCAACGAUCACUAAAAAAGAACAUUAACAUUAGAGACAACUAAUAGUUUUAUUGUAUUCUAUAUAAGAAUAAACAAUAUAGAAUACAUAUAUAAUGUGUUUAAGCAAAAAUAAAACCCGCGCGGGCGCGCGGGUCAUGAUCUAGUAUAUAUUAAAAGAGAAACAUUACAACAUUUGAGGUAUCUAUGUGUCUUUACUACAAUGAGUUUUAAUAUACUUAGAAAAAUAGGUUGGUCCAUCUAAAUAUAUAAUAAUUUUUUAUUAAAUUAACCAUAAAUUCAUUAUUAAUGUUUUUCAUUAUUUCUUUAAAUAUAAAUUACAGAAUUGCCUAAUGUGGCUAAAGUAUAUAUUAAAAUUAAUUAUUUUGAAUAAUAAAGAUUUGAUAAAAAUUAAUGUAUUUUCUAUCAUUUUUCUCAAUUUAAAAUUAAUUAAAUAAAUUAAAAAACUACAUCAACCAUAUAAUAAAAUUUAGAUUUUUUUGUAUAUGUUAUAUUUUGAUUUUUUCCAAACGACUAUAAAUUACUAAAACUAUUAAAAGUUUCAUAUUCAAAUUUUUGUGAUCCAUAGUUUAAAUUUUUUGUUGUGAUAAAAUACAAACGAUUAAAAAACCGUAUAAGUAAGAAGUUUCAUUUAAUAAAUAUAAAGUGUAAUAUAUAAAUAUAAAUAUUAAUAUUUUUUAAAUUGAACUAUAUAGCAUAUAAAAUAUAUUAAUAUAUUAAUUUUGAAAUUUGAUUUCAACAAAUUUUUUUGGUAAUAGCUUUGAACAAAUAUUGACAAAUUAAUAUUCAAAUUUUAAACAUAGCCUUAAAAAUUUAAAAAAAAAAUUAUAAUUACCAAAACUAUUAAUCACAUAAUGAAAUGUUUUUGUUACUAGUGAUUUAAAGUUUUUGUUGUAAACAUAUACAAAUGACCAAGAAACUAUAUUGAGUAAAAAACAUCAUUUAAUAUAUAUCAAUAUUAAAAAUACACUAUAUAUAUGUUAAUGUUAUUUAAAGUUAAUUAUAUACCAUAUAAAAUAUAAAUAUUAAUUAUUUUGAUAAAUGCAAUUUAUUUAUGUUUUCGCACAAAUUUAGUUAUAUAUUUAUAGUUGCCGACUUGCUAAUUAUUCAAUAUAUAUUUAUUAUUUUAUAUAUAUCUAAAAGAGCAUAUAACAAAAAUAAAUAGUAUAUAUAAUGUUUGUUCCGCACAAGGUGCGGGUCUUAACCCAUAUAUGGUCUUAUUGUUGUUGUUUCUUUUAAAGAUGUGCUUGCUUGCCUCUAUAUUCGUGGAGAUGGCGUAGUAGAGAAGGCGCUGGAACUCCCUGUGAGCGAGGAGUGGGGAUUCAAAGUCGCUCAUGAACCCAAGAGAGACCCUAGCCGUCAUCCCCAUGUUCGUUAUUCCAGGGGUUGAAAAUAUCCUCCUAGCUCUUCUAUGUUAUUAAUAAAAAUACAUAUAAUUGUUAUCAACAGAUAAAAAACUAUGAUUUGACAUUGCUAAUAUCAGCCAGUAUAUUAAAACUUUUUCAUUUUUCA